rnacentral:rRNA from 1 species
GUUGAUGUUCUAACGUCGACCCCUUAUCGGGGUUGCGGACAGUGCCUGGUGGGUAGUUUGACUGGGGCGGUCUCCUCCCAAAGAGUAACGGAGGAGCACGAAGGUGGGCUAAUCACGGUUGGACAUCGUGAGGUUAGUGCAAUGGCAUAAGCCCGCUUGACUGCGAGAAUGACAAUUCGAGCAGGUGCGAAAGCAGGUCAUAGUGAUCCGGUGGUUCUGAAUGGAAGGGCCAUCGCUCAACGGAUAAAAGGUACUCCGGGGAUAACAGGCUGAUACCGCCCAAGAGUUCAUAUCGACGGCGGUGUUUGGCACCUCGAUGUCGGCUCAUCACAUCCUGGGGCUGAAGUCGGUCCCAAGGGUAUGGCUGUUCGCCAUUUAAAGUGGUACGCGAGCUGGGUUUAGAACGUCGUGAGACAGUUCGGUCCCUAUCUGCCGUGGGCGUUGGAAGAUUGAAGGGGGCUGCUCCUAGUACGAGAGGACCGGAGUGGACGAACCUCUGGUGUUCGGGUUGUGUCGCCAGACGCAUUGCCCGGUAGCUAAGUUCGGAAUCGAUAACCGCUGAAAGCAUCUAAGCGGGAAGCGAGCCCUGAGAUGAGUCUUCCCUGAUACUUUAAGUAUCCUAAAGGGUUGUCGGAGACUACGACGUUGAUAGGUCAGGUGUGUAAGUGCUGUGAGGCAUUGAGCUAACUGAUACUAAUUGCCCGUGAGGCUUAACCAU